GCUCAGUAGUUUUUUUUAAUACUCCGUUUUUUGACAGAGAUUAUACCCAGUGCCAUUUGCCAUACCAAUCUAUUAGGUGGCAGCAAAACACCACAGCACUACAAAAGUGAAAAAAAAAGGCAGGCUACACAAAACACACCGGUGGCAAACUGCUAUCUGACAGCAGCAGUCUGUCCCAAACUUCAAACCUAAGGGGUGGUCACUUCAAGCACCACAGAUUUCCAGGUAACAGCUGAAAAUGCGAGACCUUCCACAAAAAAAUGAAAUACGGAAAUGGAAACUGGUAGAAAUGUGCCCUGGGAAAAAAGUGUACAAAAAUAGCGCAAGACUUAUGAUUGAACACAGAAGACCUCACACCUGGGAGAAAACAGACAGAUGCCACUUCACUUUACCUAACAUCUCAGAAAAUGUAUGUGUAAAAUCUUCUACUUACUAGAGAACAGCAAAUGACUGCACAAUCCAGGGACAGAUUGCUGUGAUGCCCUAUCUGCUUUUGCCUGACAUUGCAGUUAUUUGAUCUGAGGUCUUCUGUGCUCAGCAGCACCUUUUGGCAGAAGCUGAUAGCAUAAAAAACCUAACUUAGUAUCUGAAAUAAUAAAUGCCCACACGAUGAUGAUAUUUAAUAAUUGCUUAUUUCUUUACACACAGAGUUGCUGGUGUCAUUUUACAAAGUACACUGAUUUGGAAUGGCAACAGAUAGGUUUUACAGGGUAACAUCUUCAGCUAAAAAGUGCUUGCCUUGGCAGCUGAGUUCAGUCCAAGGAUCCCUUUGUAAUACAGCCACUUACUUUAAGAGUGUGCAGUCAAUGCACAAGAAUACAUCCAUUUUGAUAAGCUGUCAAAUCAAAAAAUGUGCAUCUUGACUGCUCAUUGGAUAUUAAGAUGAUUAACCCUAAGUAGCAACACUAACAUGUUGAAAGGCACUUUUUGGUUUUUUUUUUUGAGGCCCAAAUCUAGGCCUUACUUUUGAGGAUUUUUUGUUUUCUUUGAAAUACUGAUUUUUGCAGCUGUAGCUUCUCAAGUCUGGCAGAGUUGAAGCCUCUCAUAUAGAGGCAUUGGUCCCAAAGAUACAGAUAGACUGAUGAAGUAUCUGAGGUAAACAGCUCUUCCCAAGACUCUGGCUUUCUAAGUUCUACCUUAAAUACUGGUAUUAGCAGAGGCUUAGUUUUCAAAGCGGUGACUUUUGAAUGCAUCGAUCAUGUGAGUGGAGGUUGCUGUAACAGAACUGGUAUUAAACCAGAGGCUUUCUUUUUAUAGCACCACAAGUAACCUUUGGUUAAUGUGUCAACUGUCUUAGAGUUGACCCGCCACUGAAAUUCUGAGGGACAGGCGCUUAUCUAAGCUCUAUUAGGAAUAUUCCAGUUAGCAAUAUACAAAAUAAAACCUAACAUGUUCAAUUUUGAAAAUAUAAUUAAAUAGUAUGCUAAAUUAAUUGUUGCCCUUAAGACUAGAGAAUUAUACCAUGUUAGUGUAGCAUUAUCUGCCAAACUUAGCAAAAGGAUUGUUUGAUCCUGUUCUUC
rnacentral:lncRNA from 1 species